rnacentral:snoRNA from 12 species
UACGGGUUGAAAUGUCUGCUUUGACUGGUUACAUGAUGAAUAAAACAAAAAUCACCAUCUUUCGGCUGACAGCUGUG